rnacentral:rRNA from 1 species
UACAGAGGUCUCAAGCGUUGUUCGGAAUCACUGGGCGUAAAGGGUGCGUAGGCCGCACGGUAAGUCAGAGGUGAAAUCCCGGAGCUCAACUUCGGAAUUGCCUCCGAUACUGCCGUGCUUGAGGACUGGAGAGGAGAUUGGAAUUCACAGUGGAGCAGUGAAAUGCGUAGAUAUUGUGAGGAACACUAGUGGCGAAGGCGAAUCUCUGGACAGUUCCUGACGCUGAGGCGCGAAAGCUAGGGUAGCAAACGGG